rnacentral:ncRNA from 1 species
UGCCCCUUAACUGGUGGCGAUCCCGGCUAGAUAUCGAUGUGCCUAGUGGGCCAAGUUUUGGUAAGCAGAACUGGUGCUGUGGGAUGAACCAAACGCAAUGUUAAGGCGCCCAAAUAAACGACGCACCCUAGAUACCAUGAAAGGUGUUGCUUGCAAAAGACAGCAGGACGGUGGACAUGGAAGUCGUCAUCCGCUAAGUAGUGUGUAACAACUCACUUGCCGAAGCAAUAAGCCCUUAAAAUGGAUGGCGCUCAAGUCGUUUGCAACCCCAAGAAAGCUCCGGGGGACGACAACAUUCCGAAUAUGGCUGCAGCUGCGGCAAUUCUGGCUUUUCCGGAAGU